CUUCCUGUAGCGCAAUGGAUUGCGCGUUGGACUUCUAAUCCAAAGGUUGGAGGUUCGAAUUCCCCCUGGAAUGA